GAUGAACGCUGGCGGCGUGCCUAAUACAUGCAAGUCGAGCGAAGCGGGGACGGGUGAGUAACACGUGGAUAACCUACUAUACGCAUGGGAUAACAUCGGGAAACCGGAGCUAAACCGGAUCCUUAUAGAUGGAUCUGCGUUGCAUUAGCUAGUUGGUAAGGUAACGGCUUACCAAGGCAACGAUGCAUAGCCGACCUGAGAGGGGGAUCGGCCACCCUGGAUCUGAGACACGGCCCAGACUCCUCCGGGAGGCAGCAGUAGGGAAUCUUCCGCAAUGGGCGAAAGCCUGACGGAGCAACGCCGCGUGAGUGAUGAAGGUCUUCGGAUCGUAAAACUCGGUUAUUAGGGAAGCGGUACCUAACCAGAAAGCCACGGCUAACUACGUGCCAGCAGCCGCGGUAAUUC
rnacentral:rRNA from 1 species